AUACUUACCUGGGCGGGAUCGAUCGGUGAACAAGAAGGCCGAUGGUCUAGAGCAGCUCUCCUCAUUGCACCACCGACGGGAGCGGCUUUAGCAUUUCCUCAAGGGGAAUAUGCACGUCAUAAUUUGUGAUCGAUGGGGCUCGCGUUCGCGCGGCCCCUAC
rnacentral:snRNA from 1 species